CAGUGUCCGAGUUGUAAUUUGAAGAAGGCAGUCUUGGUGGGCAACCUUGUCUAUGUUCCUUGGAACAGGACGUCACAGAGGGUGAGAAUCCCGUGCGAUGAGGCUUGUCUGCUAUGUAAGGCGCUUUCGAAGAGUCGAGUUGUUUGGGAAUGCAGCUCUAAGUGGGUGGUAAAUUCCAUCUAAAGCUAAAUAUUGGCGAGAGACCGAUAGCGAACAAGUACAGUGAUGGAAAGAUGAAAAGAACUUUGAAAAGAGAGUGAAACAGUACGUGAAAUUGUUGAAAGGGAAGGGCUUGAGAUUAGACUUGGUUUUGCUCAAUCAUUUCUCCUUGUGGGAGGUGCUCUUGGCUUUACCGGGCCAGCAUCGGUUUUGAUGGUGGGAUAAUAGCGAUUGAACGUGGCCCCUCGGGGUGUUAUAGCUUUCGUUGAUACCGCCUAUCGGGACCGAGGACUGCGUCUUUGACAAGGAUGCUGGCGUAAUGAUCUUAAGCCGCCCGUCUUGA
rnacentral:rRNA from 1 species